rnacentral:rRNA from 1 species
UACGUAGGGGGGCAAGCGUUGUCCGGAUUUAUUGGGCGUAAAGAGCGUGUAGGCGGCUUUGCAAGUCCGUUGUGAAAACUCGAGGCUCAACCUCGAGACGCCGGUGGAAACUGCAAAGCUAGAGUCCGGAAGAGGAGAGUGGAAUUCCUGGUGUAGCGGUGAAAUGCGCAGAUAUCAGGAAGAACACCCGUGGCGAAGGCGGCAUCCUGGACCGGCAUUGACGCUGAGGCGCGAAAGCCAGGGGAGCAAACGGG